UACGUAGGGUGCAAGCGUUGUCCGGAAUUAUUGGGCGUAAAGAGCUCGUAGGCGGCUUGUCACGUCGGCUGUGAAAACCUGGGGCUCAACCCCGGGCCUGCAGUGGGUACGGGCAGACUAGAGUGCGGUAGGGGAGACUGGAAUUCCUGGUGUAGCGGUGAAAUGCGCAGAUAUCAGGAGGAACACCGGUGGCGAAGGCGGGUCUCUGGGCCGUAACUGACGCUGAGGAGCGAAAGCGUGGGGAGCGAACAGG
rnacentral:rRNA from 1 species